GGAUGUGGCUCAAGCGGUAGCGCGCUCACCUGGUAUGCGAGCAGUGCUGGGUUCAAUCCUCAGCACCA
rnacentral:tRNA from 1 species